GAUGAACGCUGACAGAAUGCUUAACACAUGCAAGUCUACUUGAACUUCGGUUUGGGUGGCGGACGGGUGAGUAACGCGUAAAGAACUUGCCUCACAGCUAGGGACAACAUUUGGAAACGAAUGCUAAUACCUGAUAUUAUGAUUAUACGGCAUCGUAUAAUUAUGAAAGCUAUAUGCGCUGUGAGAGAGCUUUGCGUCCCAUUAGCUAGUUGGAGAGGUAACGGCUCACCAAGGCGAUGAUGGGUAGCCGGCCUGAGAGGGUGAACGGCCACAGGGGGACUGAGACACGGCCCUUACUCCUACGGGAGGCAGCAGUGGGGAAUAUUGGACAAUGGACCAAAAGUCUGAUCCAGCAAUUCUGUGUGCACGAUGACGUUUUUCGGAAUGUAAAGUGCUUUCAGUUGGGAAGAAAAAAAUGACGGUACCAACAGAAGAAGUGACGGCUAAAUACGUGCCAGCAGCCGCGGUAAUACGUAUGUCACAAGCGUUAUCCGGAUUUAUUGGGCGUAAAGCGCGUCUAGGUGGUUAUGUAAGUCUGAUGUGAAAAUGCAGGGCUCAACUCUGUAUUGCGUUGGAAACUGUGUAACUAGAGUACUGGAGAGGUAAGCGGAACUACAAGUGUAGAGGUGAAAUUCGUAGAUAUUUGUAGGAAUGCCGAUGGGGAAGCCAGCUUACUGGACAGAUACUGACGCUAAAGCGCGAAAGCGUGGGUAGCAAACAGG
rnacentral:rRNA from 1 species